rnacentral:lncRNA from 1 species
GAUUCAAUCUCAAGAACAAUUUUGAUUUCCAGAAAAUCUACAUUUUUGUGAUUUUGCUCAUCCAAAUGGUGGACAUUUCUCAUGAAAAUAGUAGUUAUGUUUUAUGUUAAAUGUAGACUUUGCAACUUUUGCCUUUAAUAGGUUCAAUAUUAAGAACCAUUUUGAUUUACAGAAAGUCUACUUUUUUGUGAUUUUGCUCAUCUAAAAGGUAGACAUUUCUUAUGAAAAUAAUAACUGUGUCUUAUGUUAAAUGUAGACUUGCAAAUUUUACAUUUCGUUGGUUCAAUCUUAAGAACCUUUUUUAUUUCCAAAAAGUCUACAUUUAUGUGAUUUUUCUCAUUUAAAUGGUGGAUAUUUCUCAUGAAAAUAGUAGUUGUGUCUUAUGUUAAAUGUAGACUUUGCAACUUUCACCUUUCAUUAUUGAUUCAAUCUCAAGAACAAUUUUAAUCUCCAGAAAGUCACUUUUUUUAUGAUUUUGCUCAUCUAAAUGGUAGACAUUUCUCUUGAAAAGAGUAGUUGUGUCUUAUGUUAAAUGUAGACUUUGCAACUUUCACCUUCAAUAAUUGAUUCAAUCUUAAGAACCAUUUUUAUUUCCAUAAAAUCUACAUUUAUAUGAUUUUUCACAUCUAAAUGGUGGAUAUUUCCCAUGAAAAUAGUAUUUGUGUCUUAUGUUAAAUGUAGACUUUGCAACUUUCACCUUCCAUUAUUGAUUCAAUCUCAAGAACAAUUUUGAUUUCCAGAAAAUCUACUUUUUAUGUAUUUUGCUCAUCUAAAUGGUAGACAUUUCUCUUAGAAAAGAGUAGUUGUGUCUUAUGUUAAAUGUAGACUUUGCAACUUUCACCUUCAAUAAUUGAUUUAAUCUUAAGAACCAUUUUUAUUUCCAGAAAGUCUACAUUUAUGUGAUUUUUUUCAUCUAAAUGGUAGAUAUUUCUCAUGAAAAUAGUAGUUGUGUUAUGUUAAAUGUAGACUUUGCAACUUUCACCUUCCAUUAUUGAUUCAAUCUCAAGAACAAUUUUGAUUUCCAAAAAGUCUACUUUUUUGUGAUUUUGGUUAUCUAAAUGGUAGACAUUUCUCAUGAAAAUAGUGGUUGUGUCUUAUGUUAAAUGUAAACUUUGCAACUUUCACUUAUAAUUAUUGAUUCAAUCUCAAGAACAAUUUUGAUUUCUAGAAAGUCUACUUUUCUUUGAUUUCUCUUAUGUUAAUGGUAGCCAUUUUUUAUGAAAAAUGUAGUUGUGUCUUAUGUUAAAUGUAAAUUUUGCAACUUUUGCCUUCAAUGAGUUUAAUCUCAAGAGAGCAUACAAGAGGAAUUAGUUUUUUGCAACGAGAUCAAUUUUAGUAAGAAAUUGACAUAUCGAUGAGACAAGAGAGAGAGAUCGACGAGACAAAUGUGUUCAAAUUGUUUGAGUUAGAGAGAGAGAGAGAGAGAGAGAGAGAGAGAGAGAGAGACUAACCCCGUUAGUGAGAGAGUGAGAGUUAGUUUGAGAUUUAAAUUGGAUGACCAGUCAAACAGGUAACAGGUCAUCAUUAAUCUAGUUGGACCAAUCAUAAACAACCAUGUGGUUAAGGUAUCCAUACCUUAAGGCACACAAGUAUUUACCAUAUAGUUUUCCCUGUUUCGCUUUUUUGUAAGAGUGCAAAUGACUUCUGUGUUGCACAUGCAAAUGUUAUAGGGUUCUAUAUUUGUCUUUAGAAAUCGGAUUACUAAAAAGCAUAAACCUUUACACAAAAUUGGUUUACA